UCUCCUUCUCCUUCUUCUUCAUACUGAGAUUUAAACUCCAGAGCUUUAUGCUUGUUAAGAAGAUGUUCUACCAUUUUGCCCAUGCCUCCAACCUUGUUUUUGCUGGUUAUUUUUGAAAUAGGCUCUCACCUCCUGAGCUGCAAUCCACAUAGUUUUAGGCUUUCCAUCAUUGCUGGGGUCACCUGUGUGCACCGUGGUGUCCAGAUUCCCUCUGUGGUGAUGGAGUAAUGUGCACUUUUCUACCAGGAGUUGAUCUAAACGCACUCUCCUCUAGUCUCCAGCCUCUCAAAUAGAUGAGAUUACAUCUAAUCUUACCCAUCAGAGUCAUCAGUUCUGCAUUUGCAGCUGGCCUGCA